CAGGUGCCAGCACAGGUGCUGGCUGUGUGCGAGACUGUGGCUGGACUAGGCAUACCCCAAGUGGAUUAUGCUGCGGGUGCCAGCAUCUAGACAAAGGGAAUGCGGUGGUGUUUAAAAACAGUGACACCAGCAACCGUGAAGCCCCCAGGGCUGGAGAGGGCAUACUACAGCUCUCUCAUUCCUGCCGCCCAUAUAUCACCGAAUGGUGGGGGUAGGGGAGAUGUAUUUUCAGCUUGUUGAGCCCUGCAGCCUCGCUCCAGCCGAGGGCUCCCAGGCUGGCCUGGUCCCGCCAGUACUUCCUGUCGUGUGGAGCAGCUACCUGACAUUGGCGGAUGUUGGCAAAUGCGAGCAGGUCACCACCUGCAGCUCAGCGCGCUCGUCAGGAACAUGUUAUAGCUCCUUUAGCUCCUACCUGCAGCUUGGCGAUCCGGCCAGGAAAGUGUUACAGCCCUUUUUGCACCCGCUGUUCUGUGGGUCCCGGGUUUAUGUUCAGGAAGAAUGAAGUUGCACGGUCAACUGAAAGACAUGGCUUUGGAGGACACGAUUGAGAAGUAGUAAAAGAUGGAAAAGAAAACGAAGAAGUAGAAGAUCAAAACUGAAAGAAAAGUGAUACAGAGUCUAAAAGUUUUGUCUUUUUAGGUAUAAUUUAAUGACCA
rnacentral:lncRNA from 1 species